rnacentral:rRNA from 1 species
UACGGGGGGAGCAAGCGUUGUUCGGAUUUACUGGCGUAAAGGGCGCGUAGGCGGCCAGCGCAAGUCAGUUGUGAAAUCUCCGGGCUUAACUCGGAAAGGUCAACUGAUACUGCGCGGCUAGAGUGCAGAAGGGGCAACUGGAAUUCUCGGUGUAGCGGUGAAAUGCGUAGAUAUCGAGAGGAACACCUGCGGCGAAGGCGGGUUGCUGGGCUGACACGUGACGCUGGAGGCGCGAAGCCAGGGAGCGAACGGGA